UCAGGACUUAGAGACUGACAGUCAUGACCGAUGAAUGGCGCUUGCAUUGCUGCCGGGCCUACCGUGAUGUAACUGAGGAUAGGAAUCUUCUAAACCGUGAAGCAGUCCUACCUUCCCUGCUCAAGACAUUCUUUCUCUGAAGAAAGCAGCUUUGGACUUAUCUGACCAAAAGUUUCAUAGAGUAAAGAUACCCAUCGAGCCUCCUAUUGUAAUAAUGCAAGAAUUGCUGUUUGAUGUUCCACACAAAAGUCAACACACUUCACACAGAAUAUGGACAGUCCACAUAAUGAAAAAAUUGGAAGCCGAUCAAGUAGCACUGGCUCUUUCUCUGCUCCACAAGACAGAGACAUCCUGUUCUACAAGCAGAGGAAUGUGUGGGUGGACAUAUAUUUGAGGAAGACACUAAACCUGAGACUACUGUACUGUCACUUCUUCGAAGACUUUAAGACU